UGCAUUACAUAAGCGGAGGAAAAGAAACCAACCUGGGAUUACCUUAGUAACGGCGAGUGAAGCGGUAAAAGCUCAAAUUUGAAAUCUGGUACUUUCAGUGCCCGAGUUGUAAUUUGUAGAAUUUGUCUUUGAUUAGGUCCUUGUCUAUGUUCCUUGGAACAGGACGUCAUAGAGGGUGAGAAUCCCGUUUGGCGAGGAUACCUUUUCUCUGUAAGACUUUUUCGAAGAGUCGAGUUGUUUGGGAAUGCAGCUCAAAGUGGGUGGUAAAUUCCAUCUAAAGCUAAAUAUUGGCGAGAGACCGAUAGCGAACAAGUACAGUGAUGGAAAGAUGAAAAGAACUUUGAAAAGAGAGUGAAAAAGUACGUGAAAUUGUUGAAAGGGAAGGGCAUUUGAUCAGACAUGGUGUUUUUUGCAUGCACUCGCCUCUCGUGGGCUUGGGCCUCUCAAAAAUUUCACUGGGCCAACAUCAAUUCUGGCAGUAGGAUAAAUCAUUAAGAAUGUAGCUACCUCGGUAGUGUUAUAGCUUAUUGGAAUACUGCUAGCUGGGAUUGAGGACUGCGCUUCGGCAAGGAUGUUGGCAUAAUGGUUAAAUGCCGCCCGUCUUGAACCGGACCAA
rnacentral:rRNA from 1 species